rfam:Anisakis simplex genome assembly, scaffold: ASIM_contig0014237
GCAGCGAUGUCCGAGUGGUUAAGGAGUUUGACUCGAAAUCAAAUGGG